AAUGCGCUAAGUAAUGUGAAUUGCAGAAUUCAGUGAAUCAUCGAAUCUUUGAACGCACAUUGCGCCCGCCAGUAUUCUGGCGGGCAUGCCUGUUCGAGCGUCAUUUCAACCAUCAAGCCCCCGGCUUGUGUUGGGGACCUGCGGCUGCCCGCAGGCCCUGAAAAACAGUGGCGGGCUCGCUGUCACACCGAGCGUAGUAGCAUACAUUCUCGCUCAGGGCGUGCUGCGGGUUCCGGCCGUUAAACGACCUUCAUAACCCAAGGUUGACCUCGGAUCAGGUAGGAAGACCCGCUGAACUUAAGC
rnacentral:misc_RNA from 1 species